rnacentral:rRNA from 1 species
GAUGAACGCUGGCGGCGUGCUUAACACAUGCAAGUCGAACGAUGAAGCCCAGCUUGCUGGGUGGAUUAGUGGCGAACGGGUGAGUAACACGUGAGUAACCUGCCCUUAACUCUGGGAUAAGCCUGGGAAACUGGGUCUAAUACCGGAUAGGAGCGCCUACCGCAUGGUGGGUGUUGGAAAGAUUUAUCGGUUUUGGAUGGACUCGCGGCCUAUCAGCUUGUUGGUGAGGUAAUGGCUCACCAAGGCGACGACGGGUAGCCGGCCUGAGAGGGUGACCGGCCACACGGGGACUGAGACACGGCCGAGACCCCUCCGGGGGGCAGCAGGGGGGAAUAUUGCAAAAGGGGCGAAAGCCUGAUGCAGGGACGCCGGGUGGGGGAGGACGGCCUUCGGGUGGUAAACCUCUUUCAGUAGGGAAGAAGCGAAAGGGACGGUACCGGCAAAAGAAGCACCGGCCAACUACGG